UUCUAGUGCUUCUGGUAGCACAAACAUUUAAAAGUUUGAAUGGUAGACCUCGGUAAGUUCUGCUGGACAAAACCUCAUCUCUCAUAUUUGUUCCUAUUUUGUAGGUUGCAACAAAACUAAGAUGCACAAGUUCAUAUUUUGUAUGCUUUUCAGUUCAUCUACUUCCCGGUGGUGAGUCCGAUUUCCUUUGUGUUUUCAUCUUCUUCAUAUAGCACAAACAAAUCCUUGUGGUUCUACUUGAGAAUGUGCACCAUACUGUUACUUAGUUGAUCAAUUUUGUAGAAAAGUUCUCUAGGAUUUUUUUAUAAUGCUUUGGGAUUUUUGUAGAAAGUUCUCCUGCUCAAUAGUACAACUUCUUGUUUUGUGGCCGGUCGCUCAAGGAGAUGAGGUUCCUUGCUGCCUGAUGGAUAUUUGACAAAGUAGUUUUCCUCAGUGUUCCUAUUUGCAGUAUGCAAGUUGUUUGAUGUAAUGUGCAUGAGAAAAUCAUCUUCUGUAUGUGGACUGAAUGAAAAGUUGUUCUGCACUUUUGUAUUUUGGUGGUUUAAAUCAACAAGAGAUAAAUGUCCAUGGUGAAAAAUUGCAGAAUUUCGAGUCGAACAAUUGCAAAAAUUCAGAGCAGACAACAGGAGAAGUUCAACGAAAAAUCGGACUUGUAUAGUAAUGAAGGAGGAAGCAUCAGUGCCGCCGGGUCUAGGAAUUCAG
rnacentral:lncRNA from 1 species